AUUGAACGCUGGCGGCAUGCCUUACACAUGCAAGUCGAACGGUAACAGGUCUUCGGAUGCUGACGAGUGGCGAACGGGUGAGUAAUACAUCGGAACGUGCCUAGUAGUGGGGGAUAACUACUCGAAAGAGUGGCUAAUACCGCAUGAGAUCUACGGAUGAAAGCAGGGGAUCGCAAGACCUUGUGCUACUAGAGCGGCCGAUGGCAGAUUAGGUAGUUGGUGGGAUAAAAGCUUGCCAAGCCGACGAUCUGUAGCUGGUCUGAGAGGACGAUCAGCCACACUGGGACUGGGACACGGCCCAGACUCCGACGGGAGGCAGCAGUGGGGAAUUUUGGACAAUGGGCGCAAGCCUGAUCCAGCAAUGCCGCGUGCAGGAUGAAGGCCUUCGGGUUGUAAACUGCUUUUGUACGGAACGAAAAGCCCUGGGUUAAUACCCUGGGGUCAUGACGGUACCGUAAGAAUAAGCACCGGCUAACUACGUGCCAGCAGCCGCCGUAAAAC
rnacentral:rRNA from 1 species